rnacentral:rRNA from 2 species
ACACAUGCAAGUCGAGCGGAAGGCCACUUCGGUGGUACUCGAGCGGCGAACGGGUGAGNUANCNCGUGAGUAAUCUGCCCCCCACUUUGGGAUAGCCACCGGAAACGGUGAUUAAUACCGGAUAUGACCCUUGACUGCAUGGUUGUGGGUGGAAAGUUUUUCGGUGGGGGAUGUGCUCGCGGCCUAUCAGCUUGAUGGUGGGGUAAUGGCCUACCAUGGCUUCGACGGGUAGCCGGCCUGAGAGGGUGACCGGCCACACUGGGACUGAGACACGGCCCAGACUCCUACGGGAGGCAGCAGUGGGGAAUAUUGGACAAUGGGCGGAAGCCUGAUCCAGCAACGCCGCGUGAGGGAUGACGGCCUUCGGGUUGUAAACCUCUUUCAGUACCGACGAAGCGAAAGUGACGGUAGGUACAGAAGAAGCACCGGCCAACUACGUGCCAGCAGCCGCGGUAAUACGUAGGGUGCGAGCGUUGUCCGGAAUUAUUGGGCGUAAAGGGCUCGUAGGCGGUUUGUCGCGUCGGGAGUGAAAACACUGGGCUUAACUCAGUGCUUGCUUCCGAUACGGGCAGACUAGAGGUAUGCAGGGGAGAACGGAAUUCCUGGUGUAGCGGUGAAAUGCGCAGAUAUCAGGAGGAACACCGGUGGCGAAGGCGGUUCUCUGGGCAUUACCUGACGCUGAGGAGCGAAAGUGUGGGGAGCGAACAGGAUUAGAUACCCUGGUAGUCCACACCGUAAACGUUGGGCGCUAGGUGUGGGGUCCAUUCCACGGAUUCCGUGCCGCA